UGGAUCAUGGUGAUGGAAGCGAAUUCCUUUCCCCAAGCAGCAGCUUGACCGUCCUCCUCCGAAGCCCAGAGAG